rnacentral:rRNA from 1 species
UACGGAGGGAGCUAGCGUUGUUCGGAAUUACUGGGCGUAAAGCGCGCGUAGGCGGCUUUGUAAGUUAGAGGUGAAAGCCCGGAGCUCAACUCCGGAACUGCCUUUAAAACUGCAUCGCUUGAAUCCAGGAGAGGUGAGUGGAAUUCCGAGUGUAGAGGUGAAAUUUGUAGAUAUCGGGAGGAACACCUGUGGCGAAAGCGGCUCACUGGACCACAACUGACGCUGAGGCGCGAAAGCUAGGGGAGCAAACAGG